rnacentral:rRNA from 1 species
ACUGACAGCCAUGGUUACCGCGGCUGCUGGCACGGAGUUAGCCGGUGCUUCUUCUGUGAGUGAUGUCCUUCCUGCCGGCUAUUAACCCGCAGGCCUUCUUCCUCACUGAAAGUGCUUUACAACCCGAAGGCCUUCUUCACACACGCGGCAUGGCUGGAUCAGGGUUGCCCCCAUUGUCCAAUAUUCCCCACUGCUGCCUCCCGUAGGAGUCUGGGCCGUGUCUCAGUCCCAGUGUGGCUGAUCAUCCUCUCAGACCAGCUACGGAUCGUCGCCUUGGUGAGCCGUUACCUCACCAACCAGCUAAUCCGACAUAGGCUCAUCCGAUAGCGCGAGGCCCGAAGGUCCCCCGCUUUCCCCCGGUAGGGCGUAUGCGGUAUUAGCCUGGGUUUCCCCAGGUUAUCCCCCACUACCGGGCAGAUUCCUAUGCAUUACUCACCCGUCCGCCGCUCGCCACCAGGGAGCAAGCUCCCCGUGCUGCCGCUCGACUUGCAUGUGUUAGGCCUGCCGCCAGCGUUCAAU